AUUGAACGCUGGCGGCAUGCCUUACACAUGCGAGUCGAACGGCAGCACGGGUGCUUGCACCUGGUGGCGAGUGGCGAACGGGUGAGUAAUACAUCGGAACAUGUCCUGUAGUGGGGGAUAGCCCGGCGAAAGCCGGAUUAAUACCGCAUACGAUCUACGGAUGAAAGCGGGGGACCUUCGGGCCUCGCGCUAUAGGGUUGGCCGAUAGCUGAUUAGCUAGUUGGUGGGGUAAAGGCCUACCAAGGCGACGAUCAGUAGCUGGUCUGAGAGGACGACCAGCCACACUGGGGCUGAGACACGGCCCAGACUCCUACGGGAGGCAGCAGUGGGGAAUUUUGGACAAUGGGCGAAAGCCUGAUCCAGCAAUGCCGCGUGUGUGAAGAAGGCCUUCGGGUUGUAAAGCACUUUUGUCCGGAAAGAAAUCCUUGGCUCUAAUACAGUCGGGGGAUGACGGUACCGGAAGAAUAAGCACCGGCUAACUACGUG
rnacentral:rRNA from 1 species